rnacentral:rRNA from 1 species
CCUACGGGGGGCAGCAGUGAGGAAUAUUGGGCAAUGGGCGAAAGCCUGACCCAGCCACGCCGCGUGAGUGAUGAAGGCCUUCGGGUCGUAAAGCUCUGUGGAGAGGGACGAAAACCCUGGUUUCAAAUAGGCUCCAGGCUUGACGGUACCUCUUUAGCAAGCACCGGCUAACUCUGUGCCAGCAGCCGCGGUAAUACAGAGGGUGCAAACGUUGCUCGGAUUUACUGGGCGUAAAGCGCGUGUAGGCGGGUUCGCAAGUCGGACGUGAAAUCCCUGGGCUCAACCCAGGAACUGCGUUCGAAACUGCGAAUCUAGAGUAGUGGAGAGGAAAGUAGAAUUCCCGGUGUAGAGGUGAAAUUCGUAGAUAUCGGGAGGAAUACCAGUGGCGAAGGCGGCUUUCUGGACACUUACUGACGCUGAGACGCGAAAGCGUGGGGAGCAAACAGGAUUAGAUACCCCAGUAGUC